rnacentral:antisense_RNA from 1 species
CUGCAUGCCCGCUAUUUUGGUUCCAUCUCUUCUGCAUAUUUAUGCUUGCCUGUUACAUUCCCUGGCCUCUGAGUGUCCUUUGGCAGUUUCCAAAGCAUUUGGGCAAGAAGGAGCUUGGGCAGCUUCACAACAGGUUUAUUGGGCACUUCCUAGCACCAGGCACUGCAAUAAGAAAUGGAGAUUAAACCAUGAAGAAACAUGGCUCUAGCCCUUAGGGAGUUCCCGGUCCUGCAGGUUUUCACUAUUUAUUUAUGACAAAUAUUCCACAUCCGUGAUUCUCUCUAGUCAAAACUUCUUUGAGACGAUGCUGUUGGCCUUGGCCAAUCGGAGAAUCGAAUCAUCUGACUCACCCAUCCUACGAAUGGCCCCGCAGAUAGCAUAAGUUUUAAACUGGCCAUUAAACCUGCCCGUGACCUUGUCAGCCUCGGCCACGUUCAUCUGGAUGGAUGCGUGGUCCUUGGCACCGAUGAUGCGGUUGCUAGCGGAGCAUUUCCGCGGAACUUACAGGUCCACGAACUCGCCGGCGUCGUUCUGCAUUUCGCGGCUCCGCCUGCUGCCACCACACCGCGCGCGCGAGAGAAAGCCGAGGGUUUGUCCUCUUAUGCCAAGUUAGGGCAGCCCUCAAAGCAGAUCUCGAAGGGAAGACGUCUACCGAGAGCGGAUUUUGAUGUAUCACUCCAUGAGACUGGUGCCUUUCUCUAGCCUGGAGAAUUCCAAGGGUGCAAAGCUGGCUGAAGCUAUUUGAGAUGGCUGGUGAGGAUUUGGGCCAGCAGAGGGGUAAGCCUUCAGGACUUGCAGAGUUUGAAUGAGCAAGCAUGUCUGAGUGGACCCCAUGGAAAGCAUUCAGGCUUUAGUUGUCUUAAAACGGCCAUACCCAGAGCAAGUGUAAAGGCAGUUGUGGAAAAUAAUAUAAACCAGUUACAAUAGCAUUCUCGGAGUGCUUACCCAGGUACUAGGGAUUAUUUUAUUAAUCCUCACAACCACCCUAAAAAGCAUUACUUUCAUUCCCAUUUUUCAGAUGAGAAAAUGGAGGAGUGAAGUCGUUAUUUUCUCAAGAUCAUAGAAUUAGCAUGGUUCAUAACUGGUAUUUAAAUAGCAGAUCCUUGUAUGUAUUAGCUUGGUGUUGAUCCCAUCUAUCUGUGGUUGGUUCCCAGAUUUACUACCUCCAGCUUUGGUUUCAUUCCCUCCUGAACUCAAGACCUGCAUAUCCAACUGCUUACUUGAUAUUUCCAUUUGGGUAUGUCAUAGCCAGUGGAAAACACUGGGUAAUUUAUGAGGAUAAGAGGUUUAGUUGACUCACAGGUCCACAGGCUGUACAGGAAGCAUGGCUGGGAGGCCUCAGGAAACUUAAAAUCAUGGCAGAAGGUGAAGGGGAAGCACUUGCUCUCCUCUCCGCCUAGAGGGCUACAGGAAAGUUCCCGAUUGCAACUUACCCCUACCUUGCUCUUCCCUAUCUUGGUUGCUUGAGUCACGUCUCCUUUCCCUUACCUUCUCCCUUUGUCUGACAUACCCAGUUGCUGUAGAACUUGAAUCCAUUGACUUCUCUCCAUUUCCACUGUCAUUUUGUGAGUGCAACCCACAUCACCCCACUGCUUUUAUUCUUCCCUCUCAGCCCACUCUCCACAGUAGAGAGAGAAUUAUUUUCAUCUUCCUUUACUGGCUUGUCAUGUAUCUGAGAAUAAAAUCCAAACUGCACCACGGAGCCUUGGAAGGCCUGGCUGCUCCUCCCCUCACUGUUCUCCAUGGCUCACUGGACUUUAGCAGCUCUGGCCUCCCUUCUGUUCCCUGGGAACCUUGGCCUUUGCACUUGUUCUCCUCUCUGCCUAGAGGGCUCUUUUUCUCAUCUCUUUGCAUAGCUGGGUCAUCCUUAUCCUUUAGGUCUCAACUGAAAGGUCACCUUCUCACUGCUACUCCCAGCUACUCAUUCUCUUUCCCAUGUUUAUCUUUGUCAUAGUCCUUCAAACAAUUGGUAAUUAAUUUGCUUAUUUUAAAAAACUUGUUUGUUAGAUGUGUUUAUCCUGUUUCUUCCUCCCAACUAUGAUCUAAGCUCUCUGAGAAGGGGCCUCACUUACCUUUAUGUUCAUCACUGUAGUGCCACAAUCUAGCAAAUUGCCUGGCAUAUGGAGGUGCUCAGCAAAUACCUGUUAAAUAAAUGAAUGCAUUUUUUU